GCUCCUCCCGCCGCAGCCUCCGGCACCCCGGCGUCUUACCGCAGUUUAGGAAUGAGGUGUGGAGAGUUAGAUAUUUAAAAAAAAAAAACCAACAACAAAACAACAACAACAACAACAACAACAAAAAGCAAACAAACCAGAAAACCAAAAACAAAACCCAAAGGCUACUUCCCAGUCAUUCCUCCCUUGCUGGAGGGCCACUACUCCAGUCGGGCGAGACGCCACCUGUUUACUGGCCCUGGAAAGAAUGCAGAGGUUAUUAUCUUCCACAGAACAACACUCAGCAGGAAAGCAACAUAACCUUGCAGAAACACUUAUCAAAAAAAUCCAACUCCUGCUCUACAUUAUUGACAAUUGAGAGAGAGAUGGGAACUACUGACUGGUGAUCAGAAUCCGAAUUUACUGGAGUUAUUUUCUGGUAAUGGCCCAUUGAAUCCCACUGUGUGACUGAUAAAACUACUGCAUCCCAUUGGAAGUUGCUCCAGCCAGGG